CGCGGGAUGGAGCAGCCUGGUAGCUCGUCGGGCUCAUAACCCGAAGGUCGUCAGUUCAAAUCUGGCCCCCGCAACCA
rnacentral:tRNA from 1 species